UACGUAGGGUGCAAGCGUUAAUCGGAAUUCCUGGGCGUAAAGCGUGCGCAGGCGGUUUUGUAAGACAGAUGUGAAAUGCCCGGGCUUAACCUGGGAACUGCAUUUGUGACUGCAUGGCUAGAGUGUGUCAGAGGGGGGUAGAAUUCCACGUGUAGCAGUGAAAUGCGUAGAUAUGUGGAGGAAUACCGAUGGCGAAGGCAGCCCCCUGGGAUAACACUGACGCUCAUGCACGAAAGCGUGGGGAGCAAACAGG
rnacentral:rRNA from 1 species